GGCUUAACCCCCAGAAUUCACUAGAGGGAGAAGUGUGUGUAGUGAUGACUCCAGCAGGGCCCAGAGAACUCUGAUCCCAUGCAGGUCUGGUGCCCUGGAUACUCUGAUCUUGGUUCCCAGGAGGGAGAGGUCAGGCUCUGCAUGUGGGAUCCUUUGUAUUGGUCACUGACUCUGCUUCAGGCUCAGCCUUCUGGCUGUGGGCACUGGCUUGACACUGACUCCUGACUCCUGGGUUUUAGGGUGUCAGCUUAUUUUUCUGGGCUUUGUCCUUGGUACUAUGCAAAGGUUGGAUCUGGGAGUUUAGCUGUGGCCCCCAAUCUCAUCCACUCCUUGUAGCUUCCUUGAUCAAGCUCUGGUUACUGGAGUGUGGGCUGCAGGUUACGGGCUCUUCCCCUGUGGGCUCUGUUCUGUUCACUGAUGAACAGACCCUCUCUGCCUUCUGAGCUCAGGAGGUGCUUUCAGAAUCGUAAUCUCAAGGCUUAUCAUGUGAUUCUUUGAUUGUGACUUUGGAGUAAGAAGAGAUGGACCCUGGGCUCAGGGUUCUUUCUGAUGCUAGGGAGAUCCUGAGGAGCUAAGUGUGAGAAAAGGUGAUGAUUUAAGGCCCCAAACAGGUGGAGAGUGAGGGAAGAAAGGAAGGGAAACCACUGGAUCAGCAUUUGCUUGGCCGAUUUGGGAGUCAUGUCAGGGCCUGCUUCCUCCAGAGCUGGGUCAAGCUCCAGAAGUGACCUCACCUGCCCCAGGCCAGCAUUGCUCCUUCCUGAGAUAGGUCAUCCUCAGUAGUGACCUCACUUAUCUAGCCUCAGUUUUCUCAACCUCACCUGCCCCAGGCCAGCAUUGCUCCUUCCUGAGAUAGGUCAUCCUCAGUAGUGACCUCACUUAUCUAGCCUCAGUUUUCUCAUCUGCUGCAUGAGAAACUGAAUAGCACCUACGUGGAAGGAGUUUCUGUCCUGUCGGGAUGCCAUGACUGGCUCAGCAUUUGCAACAUUGGCCUGAAGGUAGGAAGGACCCAUCCCAGGGUAGAGCAUGGCCUAAAUUAGGUAUACUUUUUGGUCUGUACUUUCUCUUACCAAACGAAGUUUUGUUUUAUUUUAAUGCUUUUUGUCUUGCUGUUGUUGUAGUUACAUAUGAUCUAACAUU
rnacentral:lncRNA from 1 species